AUGGAACUUGCUUGGCACAGUAUCUUUUCCUCUCUUAUUCUUUGAAAUGGGAAGUUCAAUGUUGCAAGAUCUAAGCAACAAAUCCUCACCUUGCAGACAGAGAAGGACUGGGAAAAGUUAUGGUUUUGGACAUGUUGAUUGGGUGAUUCUGGGAGCUGGGAUCCAGGAGGUAAAUUUUUCAAGCUCUGCUCUCUCUGGAGUUCCCAGAAUCCAGUUAAUCAGCAUGCGGCUCUGCUGGCUGGGCAGGAUUCCAGGAAGAUGUACUACAAAGAAGCAGUCUUCCCAUCCCUCUGUCUAAAUGUACGACAUAUAUGACAUACCAACAGCUUCUGAAAUUUGGUGAAGCAGUUGUCCAUCCUAGGUUAGGAAGUACAACAGCAAGGUCGAGUAAAGAAAAAGGAAAAUAAAGAACAGCUGUCAACCCUGUGCUUGUAAUAAAUUGUGUAGCAUGGAUAAUUGGUUAAAAGAAAGCCCUUUCUUUCUUUCUUUCUUUCUUUCUUUCUUUCUUUCUUUCUUUCUUUCUUUCUUUCUUUCUUUCUUUCCUCCCAUCAAGAACUAGGCAAACAUUAGGAAUGCUUUAUCCGGUUUCUCCAUUAGCUUGCAUGGCAAACAAGGACUGAGUGCCUACAAGGAAAAGUCUCAAGGUGGUUGGCAGGGUAUGACCCUGACAAAACAUGAAGAAAGUUUGACCCCAUAAACACCUAUUAGGGUCGAAUAGGUAAAGUGUAAAAACAGUGUAAAACAGGACUAAGAGGUGUUUAACAUGAGCAGAGCCUUUCUCAACCACUUCUUGGCAAAUCUUAGUGGCUAGAUGUGCAAGUGAAUAGUAGUCACAGGAAGCAAUCAGGCCUAGUAGAUCAAUGAAAGGUCUUGUGCUGGAAUGAGCUGGUAUUUCAGUCUUUCUUUCCAAAGAACUUUCUGAAAACAGAUUUGUUCUUCUGGCGGGGCGAGGCGCCUUGGCUUCUCCCACCCAAGAGAUCUUGGGAUGUACCAGCAGUGGCUACGAAGGAAUGGCAGCGAGGCCUGGAGGGAGCAGCUGCUUGCUCUCCGAUGUACAGAGUGACCGAGUAGCUGCUGCCAAUGCCCAGGGGUUCUUUGGACACUGACAAAGGGGAAAUCUUCUGGUAUGUAGCUGAAAGAGAGAAUGGGGAUGCAUUAUAAGUUAACUACUGCAGCAGCAUGAAAAGACAAUGAGCAACAGUAGGCCUCUUUAGUGGCACUGGCUCAUUAUUUUUAUAACUGUCUUACCCAGUCCAGUGCUCUUCAGAAGUGCUGUUCUACAAGCUCCGUUACCAUAGCUAAAGAUGGUUGAAGACUGGAGUGAUGUAAGGCAUAAGUCCAAAACAUCUGGAAGGUGCCAACAUGGCUAAAACUGUUUUAUGAUACACAUAAUCUUUUAUUACAGGAUUCCCCUUCUAACUCAUUUUCAAAUAAGGAGAGUCACAUUGUUGGCUAAACUGUAUGUUAGGCCUCUGCUCCAGAACAACUUACCAUAGUUUGUUAAAACUCUACCAAAUGUUUCUGUCAAUUUAUAAAUAAACUGACACCCUAUCCAACGCUAUCUCCCCAAUGGGGACUCAGAGUGGUUUACAACAUACAGCAGCAAACAUUCAAAUGCCAUAAAGUUUGACCAAAAAAAAAGAGAAGCAAAUAAACAAACCAUAAAUAAAAUAAUAACAUAUCAGAUAUCAACAUCAGACAAUAGUGAAACAUUACAGCAAAUUAGGCAUUACACAACAAAAAAUGCAUGUUUUGAUUUCCUUAGGGAGGGAGUUCCAAAGGUGGGGGCGACCACGGAGAAGGCCCCUUCUCUCAUUCCCACCAGCCGUGUUUGGGAUGGGCGUGGGGCUGAGAACAGGGCCUCAUCUGCCAAUCGCAGUGCCUGGCCAGGCUUGUACCAAUACUGGCAUCUCAACAUAAAAUUAAGAUCAAGAAUAAAACACAGAAAAUAACAUUAAAAAGCACAAAAUAUGACACAAUUGUUUCAAGAACAUAUGAUUCUGUUAAUUUUUGC
rnacentral:lncRNA from 11 species